UUUAUGCCGGGGCAGUGAGGCCUGGGGUGUGGUGGUCGUGUGUGCUUCUGUCGCGUGGUGUGGAAGACUCGUCCGCCUGUGUAUGCGUGGCAGCAAGUCUGAGUGUGCUUGUGGGCGUGCAAGGCGAGUGCGUGCAACAGCCACUGAGCCCCUCCUCGCCUACCCCUUGAUCUUAUUUGAUCAGGUCGAACCCCAGCCCCGCAGGGCCCACCAGAGAUGAGAAACCAUCCUCCUGCGAAGCCCCGCCACUUCCGCGUGGGCUCUGUGCAGCGAGACCUUCAAGGGCGGCGGCAUCACCAAGACCUGUUGGUCCCGGAGUCGGUCCCACGGGUUCCGCUAUUGGACAUGAUGAAUUGAUCAGAUAGACGAGGCCUGAGGUUCGCCCCGGGCUGCUGAUUAUCAAGGCAAUUCUGAUCUGA